UCUUAAAAAUGUGCCUCAAUAAUAUUCUAUUUAAAACAUAACAUGAAGUGUUAAUCGCUUCGGCCCAAAAAUAUUUUGGAAAAUUGUUUUCAUUUAGCAUGGUUCUAGCCAUUUCUUGAAGAUUUCUAUUUUUCCUUUCAACUACCCCAUUUUGUUGAAGAGUUCUAGGAGCCGAAAAAUUGUGGUUAAUACCAUGCUCGUUGCAAUAUUCUUCAAAAUCAAUAUUUUCAAAUUCUCUCCCAUGAUCACUUCUUAUAAAAGUAAUUGUAAAACCUUUUUCAUUUUGAAUCUUAUUGCAAAAUUUUGAAAACUCAUAAAAGACUUCAUUCUUUUAACUUAAAAACAAGACCCAUGUGUAUCUAGAGAAGUCAUCCACAAUAUCAUAUGCAUAAGAUUUUCCUCCAACACUUGGUGUCCUAGAGGGACCAAAUAAAUCCAUAUGCAAAAACUCAAGAGGCCUAGAGGUUGAAAUAAAAAUUUUAUUUUUGAAAGAGUUUUUUAUUUGCUUUCCCAUUUGACAAGCUUCACAAACUGUCUUUUUGAAAAUUUAUUUUGGGAAAGCCUCUAACAAGUUCAUCUUUGUUGAGUUGGGAAAUGAGGUCCAUGUUAGCAUGUCCCAACCUCCUAUGCCACAACCAACUUUGAUCAUGCAUGCUUGAAAAGCAUCUAUCAUGACCAUCAUAUUUUGAGAUAUUUAUAGUGUAAACAUUAUCACACCUAUGGCCCAUGAAGAUGGUUUUAUCAUUUUGAAUAUCCUUGAUAAUGCAAUGAGAUGCUUCAAAAAUCAUUUUAAAACCUUUGUCACAAAGUUGACUAAUGCUUAAAAGGUUACGUUUUAAACCAUCCACUAAUAAAACACUUUUAAUAAGAGAGGAUGUGCCAUUACCAAUGUUGCCUUGACCAAUGAUUCUUUCUUUUGCAUUGUCUCCAAAGGUAACAUAUCCUCUCUUUCUCUUUGUAAGGAAAACAAACUUGGAUUCAUCUCCGGUCAUGUGUCUUGAGCAUCCACUAUCCAAGAACCACUUAUCCUUCUUUGAACCCUACAAAAUAAAAUUCAAGUUGAUUUAGGUACCCAUGUCUUUUUGGGUCCUUGAGGGUUAGUGACCUUGGAUUUUUCAAUCCAAACCUUUUUAGCUUUUGCAUUUGAAUUAUUUUGAGAAUCAUUUUUUAAGGGGCAUGUACUACUAAUGCGCCCUCCUCUUCCACAAAAGUUGCAAGUGGUAGAAGGACUUGCACUUGAGGAUUCUUUUACAAAGUAGUUUUUAAAAUACUUUUGAUUUUUUGAAGAUUUGAAUCUUAGCCCUUGUUUGUCAAAAACACAUUUUUGGCUAGCUAAAAUCAUUUCAAAAGAUUUUUGUCCACAAGAGAAGAUUGAAAGAGAGGAUUUCAACCAUUCAUUUUUACUUUUCAAAAUCUCAUUUUCAUUUCUCAAAAUCUCAUUUUCUUUUUCAAGAUGAGUUUUAUAAAUUUCAACAAUUGAAAAUUUUUCUUUCACUUCUUCAAGUUCUUGAAUUUUCUUUUUAAGAGAAUUAUUUUUCAAACUAAGUUUUUCAAAAUCCUCAUAUAAUUCUUCAAAAACAUCUUGCAUAUCUUCAUAACUAAAGUUAGAGUUUACCUCAUCAAGUUUAUUUAUUGCCAUGAAGCACAUGUUUACCACUUCUUUCUCUUUUUCUUCUUUGGAGGAUUCUUCACUUUCACUCCAAGUGGCCAUCAUUGUCUUCUUCAUUCUUCUCUUGGCUUCACUUUUGUAGAGACGACAAUCAUAUUUAAUGUGUCCCGAUUUUUUGCAUUUGAAACACACCAAAUCUCUUUUCUCUUCCUAUUUCUCCUUGUCACCAUGAGAUGAAGAUUCCUUUUUAGAAAGGUCUCUUUUAGAGGUGAACUUUCUUCCUCUAAACCUUUCGUCCCUCAUGUAUUUGUUGAGCUUUCUUGUGAUGAGGGCUAAAUCAUCAUCUUCUUCACUUGGUUUUUCUUCUUUAACAUUUUUUUCUUCCUUAGUUGUAGCUUUGAAAGUUAUGUUCUUCUUCUUUUUGUCUUCUCCCUCUUGUAGCUUCUUUGCCAAAUUGAUCUCAUCUGUCAUUAAUGACCCUAUGAGCUCCUCCAUAGGUAACUUGGUCAAGUCUUUUGCUUCUUGAAUUGUAGUGACCUUUGUAUGCCACUUUGAUGGGAGUGACCUCAAUAUCUUCAUCCCCUUUUCGGAUUCCUUGCAGGUUUUUCCCAAUGCUUCAAGACCAUGGACAAUGUCGGUGAACCUAGUGAUCAUCUCAACAACAGUCUCAUUUUCUUUCAUAAAAAACAAUUCAUAGUUAUGAACAAGUAUAUUUAUUUUUUACUAUUUCACUUGAUUUGUUCAUUUAUGAGUUAUUUCAAGAAAUCUCCAAAUUUCUUUAGUCGAUUUACAUUGACAUAUUCUAUUAUAUUCAUUUCUAUUCAUAGCAUAUUGCAAAAUAAAAACGGUCUUAGCAUUUUAUUGAAAAUUUCUUCUAUCAAGCUCAUUCCAUUCUUGCUUAGGUUUUGGGACCAAGACUCCAUCAACUAGUUUUGUAGGAAAAGUUGGGCCAUUUUCAAUGACGUCUCAUAUGUCUAAAUCGGUUGAUUGUAAAUACCAAGUUGUAGACCUUCCAUUUUUUCCCUUUAGCACAUGUCUUUAAGUUCACUUCCUAUGUUCCACAGCGUUUCUUUGAUGGCCCAUUACUACUCGUGUAACUUACUUUUUCUAAGCCACUUUGGAGACUUUGGUUAAGGGUUUAUCCGGUUCCACAUUACGACCUUGGUUGCCCUUCAAGUUUAGACUAGGCUUCACUUAGAUACACUUGGCCCAUUAGGCACCACCUUAGGCACACUUAGAUUCACCCUAACCUGCUUAGAUCCACCUAGACACCUUCUAAAUUGCACACAUUCACCUUAGGUCACUUAGGUCACUUAGGCACCUUUUCAAAAUAGGUCACUUGGACACUUCUUUUGGCAUCCACUUAGGCGUGUUCUUGAUUUUGGUUACUUCCUUUUCCGAGAUAGGAUGAGUAUUGGGUUGACUACAUAUUGCAUGAAAUGAAUUUUUUUUUAAUGAAAAAGGUAAGAAUAACUAUGGUUGUGGAUGUGGUCAUGACAAUAGAGAAAUGGGUAAUUUUAAUUCAUCAAAUAAUUAAGGCAAAAUAAAGGGGGAAAAUAUGAUAAAACCCAAAUUCAAUAUUAUAAUUAUAACAAAUAUGGUCAUUAUGCUUAUGAAUGUAGAAGUUCCACUAAUAAUAUGAAAUGACAAACCACCUAUGUUGAAAAGAAAGAUCAAGAAAAACCUAUUUUGUUGUUGGCGUAUAAAGGAGAAAACAAAGAGAAAAACACAUAGUACCUUGACAUUGGAGCAAACAAUCACAUGUGUGGUUUCAAAAAUAUGUUUGUGAAGCUUGAUGAAUCGGAAAGUGGCCAUAUUUUUUUGAGAUGCAUCCAAACUUCCAAUAAAAGACAAAGACAAAAUCCUAAUUCGUUUAAAAAAUAAAAGACAUCAAUUUAUCUAGAAUGUUUACUAUGUGCACAACAUGAAAAAUCAUGUAUUAAAUUUGGGUUACCUUUUAGAAAAAAGCUAUAAUAUUCAUAUAAAAAACAAAGCCUUUCAAUAAUAGAUCAACAUGCCAAUUUAAUUGCUAAUGUGCUUAUGACAAGAAAUAAAUUUUUUUGUUAAACAUUCAAAAUGAUGAUGUAAAAUGUUUAAAAUCUUGUGUUAAUGAUUUCUCAUAGAUUUGACGCUUAAGAUUUAGACAUUUUAAUUUUGGUGGAUUGAAAUUGUUGAGUAAGAAAAAUAUGAUGAGAAAAUUGUUAGGAUAGAGUUCUUAAAAGCAUAACAUGAUAUAAUAAAUUUGAAAUCCAUUAUUUAUUUGAUGACAUUUCAAUUUUACUUCUAUCUAUCCUUAUUCUAUACAUUAUACUUCAUGAGAAUUCUUACCUAAUAUCUCUUGUAUUGUACAUGAUUUGGGUGUAUUAGGAGUUGCAUUGAAGAUCCAAGUCAUGAGUUUCUUACAAGUAUAUGAUUUGUCCAUAACCAAUUCGUGGACAUAAGCAAUCCUAUAGUGCACUACUUCCUAAUUGGAGGAUGACUAGUUUUGGCUAUUAAAAUGAGGUUCCCAUGGUGAGUAUACUAAUGUGUAUGAUUACAUAUUGAAUAGGACCUACAAUGAGUUAUAACAUAAGACUAUCAAGUAGUUAUGACAUAAGUAUGUAUAAUAUAUCACAUGUUAAGACAAAAGAUUAAUUUGUUGAAGUUUUAUGUUUUAGUCAUAUAGUUAGCUUGGCUAAGUGCAUAGUUUAUAUUCGUAAAGCUUGUUAAAGUCGGUUACAAGUUUGUUAGAGAUCUUCCUUUAUAUUUGUACUAGAUAGUAUAGAUAUAGAUUUUAGUUGAAUAGACAAAAAUUCCAAAACUCUCUCCUAAAAUUUCUCUAAACCUAAGCAUUCCUUUACUUUAUUGCCCUAGAAAAUUGUUUAGAUUCAGAAUUUUAUCAUGGUAUCAAAGUGCAUUUUUUUUCCAAUAAAGGAUAAUCGAGCAUUAGGGACAAUGGUACAAGUUCUAGUGGUGACAAAUCCAUCAUCUUCUUUAUCAAGGUUCAUACCUAUUAGUUUUACUUAUUCUUUGUUGGUAAAACUUGAUAAUAAUAGUGUUUGAAUUUGGAAACAACAGGUUGUCUCGACAAUCAAAGGAUAUGGUUUGCAAAGAUUCAUUUUUGGUAGUGGUGAGAUUCUAGAAAGGCUUUUGUUGCAAGAAGAUGCAAGGUCUAGGAUGUUUAAUCAAGAAUUUCUUGAUUGGGAAUAAUAAGAUCAAUUGUUAUGUUAUGGCUUUUAUCAUCAAUUUCAAAACCAAUUCUCCCUUGAAUGGUAGGUUGUGAAACUUCUUUCCAGGUUUAAGGCAAGCUUGGGCAAUAUUUUUCUACCUAAACUAGGGCUAAGGUUAGUUAAUUCAAAACUUAACUUUAGAAUACAAUGAAUGGAUUAGAUCUUAAUUUGCUUGUUAAUGAGUAUUUGUCCAAGAUUAAAAGUUGUGUUAAUUCCUUAGCAUCAGUAGGGCAUUUUCUUUCUACUAAAGAUCAGGUUGAUGCUAUUUAUGAUGGGUUAACCACAUAGUAUGAUCCCUUUUAUAGUGUUAAUAAACUUUAGAAUGGAUAGUUACACUAUAGAAGAGAUCGAGUCUUCAUUAAUGGCUCAAGAAGCAAGGUUUGAAAAGAACAACAAGGCCUUGGACUUUGUACUAAGUGCAAAUAUAGCUACUAAAUUUUAGGGACAAGGUAAUUUGAAGAAGUGGCAAAGUAAUAACUUUGGAGGUCAAGGACAAAGACAAAAUUCUUGUCAAGGGUUCAAUGGGAGUCAAGGUUGAAAUUUUAGUCAAAGUUCUAAUUAGAAUUAUGGUGGUAAUUAAUUUUAGUAGAGGAGAGUUUAAUGGAGACUUUAAUAAAGUCGAGGCUUUAACAAUGGUUUUAAUGGACAAGGCAAAGAUAGAAGAUGUUGGAAUUCAAAUGGUAAACCAUAAUGCUAGUUGUAUGGGAAGUUUGGGAAUGUGAUUUUAAAUUGCUACUAUUGUUUUGAAGGGCCUUUCGGUUUCAAUUUUCAGAAUGCCAAUGCAUUUUGAAACCAAGCCUCUCUAAUGUGUUCAAUGAUUGCCAUCCUAGAACUUUACAAUGAUGUAAGUUACUACCCUAAUUCUAGUGCAUCCAAUCAUAUAACUUGUGAUGUUAACAAUUUGAAGCAUAUAUAAGAGUUCACUAGCUAGGAUAGAGUUCACAUUAGUAAUGACAUAAGUUUGUCCAUUAAACAUGUUGGCCAAUCUUCAUUUUUGUCUCUUUAUUGUAGGAAACCCUCAAUUUCUCUAUUCAUAAAUGUUGGAUCACUUUUAAAAACCAUUUAGAUUAAUAAAACUAAAGAAGAACGAUUCAUAAUUUGAUCUUGUACACUUGAAGUCUUCCGCCUAAUGACUCAAGCCACAACUUUAGCACUCUAAAUAGUGGAUUUUGGAAGGGAAGAUGUCUUGCCUUUUUUUUCUUUAUCUAAAAGUGAAAGAUGACUCUGGAAAAUCAUUAGGAAACCUUUACCUCCUAAGGGGGUAUUUAUAGGAUUUCUAUAGCUACUAGGCUUAAGUAACUUAAGCCCACAAGGGUUUGGGUUACUUAUUUAAGUCUAAACUGGGUCAUAAUUGAUUAAUUAAGCACAAAGGGUCAUCUAAUUAAUCAAUUUGCUUGAUCUAGAAACUUUGCUCACUAUUUCUUGUGUAACUAUGUGCAAUUAUGAAAACACCCUUCUAUACCAAAGUAAACUAAAAGUCAAUCCAACCCUCAUAAAGCAUGCCAUCUUGGUAUAUGAGUUUAGAGUGGUAGGACCCAUACGGGUAUUGGUUAUCUUAGAAUCCAAUUUUAAAGUUGAUUCAAUAUUCCACAAAAAAAAUAAAAAAAUCAACUAUGCUCUAAUACUUUAUGCAAAUAACAACGAGACAAACCUUGAGUUUAUGACCUACUAUCUACUAUAUGUGGACUCUCUAUAAACUAGUGUCUGUAGUCUAAUAAGGUAAUCUUAUCACUUAUCAAGAUUACCUCUUCAAUUCUUGAGUUACAGAUCCCACUUAUUGUGUGAUUAAUUGACAUACUCUAGUUCCAAUUACCAUAUGCCAAUUUCUAUUAAAAGAAAUUCUAUGACCAUAGUCUUCUAAAUCACUCAAGGAAACACAUUAUCUCAAUUCAUGAGAUAUCAUGGCGUCUUUAUUGAGAAUACCUAUUGUCAUCAGCCUCCAUCAAUAGUGACCUGAUCUAUAAGGAUAUAUGACCACUUUAAGGUCUCAUUUCUAUGUCAAAGCCUCUUGUUGACUUUGACACAUGCUCAAUAUUCUCUCAAGUUUGAGAGUCCAUGUACUAUAGUAACUUGAUGAAUCAUGAUAGUUGAUAACCUUACAUCAUGAUUCAUUGUAAGUCUUGUCUAAUGUGUAUCACAUACACUAGUGCAUUUACUAUGGGAAAACCAUUCUGACCAUUAAGACAAGUUGUCUCACCAAUUAGGAGGUAGUACACUACAUUCUCAGAUAAAUUGCCUAAAUCCAUGAACCGACUGUGGAGUACUCAUCACUCUACAAGGAACCCAUAACUUAGAUCUUCCGUAUAACUCCUAAUGCACCCAAGUUACGUAUAAUGCAAGUGAUGUGACACACAUAUUAAAUAACCAAUUAAUGCAUAUAGGAUAAUAAAUGGGAAACCAAGAAAUAUAAAUAAAUAAAAUUUAUAAAUGUAUUUUAAUAUGUUACAUCAUGUCAUGCUUUCUUAGGCUCAAUCCCAACACGUAUAAUUCUAAAAUUCUCACUCUAAAGCAUCUUUUACAUGUUCCAAAUAAAAUUCUAUUAAGUGUGCCUAAAUUUACAAGAGAUAAUAGUGUUUUCUUUGAAUUUCAUCCUAACACAUGUUCUAUUAAAGAUUAGGCUUCCAAGGCAAUUUUAAUGGCAAAGAAGGUUAAAGAUGGUUUCUAUACCUUUGACUCUCCACACAUGAUAUUCAAUCUAACACUAUUGCUAUCUCAUUCUACUUUUUUAAUUUCUAGUGGCUCAACUCAAGUGCUAUCAACCUCUUGUAGUAUAGACAAUUCAUCACAUACUAGUUGUUCAACUAGUUCCAAAAGUUAUUUGUUUGAUUUGUGGCAUAAUAGGUUACAUUAUCCAUUUGAGAAAGUUGUCAAAUGUGUACUCUCUCAUUGUAAUAUGCCUAAUUUUAAUAAAAUGAAACUUUUUUUUUCUAUUAAUCUUAUUACCUAGGUAGGAUUAAUAAAUUUAAAUUUAGUUUGUCUGAUAUAAUCUAUAUUGCUCCUCUUCAUAUCAUACAUUUUGAUUUAUGGAUUUUAAUACCUAUUUAGUCUAGUAGUGGAUAUAAAUAUUACAUCCACUUUUUUUUUCUUACUCUAGAUUCCCUUAGAUUUACUUGCUUAGAAAUAAAUUAGAUGAUAUUCAAACUUUUAACAAUUUCAAAACUCAAGUAGAACUACAAUUCAAUACCAAACUUAAAGCCAUAUAGACAGACUAAGAAGAAGAGUUUCGAGUUUUUCAAGAUUAGUUGUCUACUAAAGAGAUAUUACAUAGAGUUUCUUACCCUUAUACAUAAGAACAAAAUGGGGCUACUAAGCAAAAACAUAGGCAUAUAGUGGUAAAUAGGCUUACUCUUAUAGCAAAUGUUUUUUUUCCCUUGAAAUAUUGGUAUAAGGCUUUUAAAGCGAUUGUGUACCUCAUAAAUAGACUUCCAACUCCUAUGCUUGGUAUGAAAUCUCCUUUAGAGACCUUAAAACAAGACUAAACCUGCCUAUAACACUUUUAAAGUCUUUGAAUGUGCUUGUUACCCAAACCUUAGACCCUAUAAUAAACAUAAUAUGCAAUUUAGGAGUGUUUAAUGCAUUUUACAGUCUAUAGUUUAAAUCACAAGGGUUAUAACUAUUUAUACCCUAAUGGUAGGCUAUUUAUUUAAAGAGAUGUCAUACUUGAUGAAUUUUCUUUUCCUUUUUCAAAAAUUGAAACAACCACCAAUUGUUUCUUCAGUCCCUUAGAUAAAUUUAGGGUAUUUAGUCAUGCUACUUGUGUUACCUGAUAUUUCUCAGUUUUUUUAAGUUUUACACCAUCUAAUUCUCUUGCUAAAUUUUUCAAACAUCUAUUUAUACUCUAGUUGUUAGGAUAAAACUCUUAAAAGUAUGACAUAAUGUAAUAAGAUAAGUUCCAUUAAUAUGUUUAUAUAUAAAAUGAUUUCUAAUUCCAUUUUUCUAUCUAUCAUUGCAUUCUUAUCCGAGCAUUCACGCUUAUAUUACUUGCAUUGUACAUGACUUGAGUGCAUUAGAAAUUGUAUAGAAAACCUAAGUCUUAAGUUUCUUGCAAAAUGAUAAGUUGUUCAUGGUCAGUUCAUGGAAUUGAACAAUUCAUUUGAGAUUAUAAUGCAUUACCUCCUAAUUAAAGGAAUAACUUAUCUUAAUUAUUAGGAUGAGUUUCCCAUGGUGAAUGUACUAAUAUGCAUAAUUAUACAUUGAAUAAGACCUAUGAUGUGAUAUUAGUUUUUGAGUAAUCAUAACUUCACCAAACUACUAUGUUGCAUGAGUUUUUAACUUUGAGAGAAUAUUGAAUUAGUGUUGAAGUUUUCAAUGGUUUUGACCUGUGGGUGAGACCUUAAGGUGGUCAUAUUAUUUAUCAAUUGGAUCAUUAUUAAUUAAAGUAGGUGACAAGUAUUCUUAAGAUAAGCAUCAUAAAAUUUCAUAAGAUUGAGACGAUUUAACCCCUAAGGUUAUCCUAAGUACUUGUGAUCAUAUAAUUUAUGGAUACAAUAAUUUCUUAACUAAAGUUUGAAAUAUAUUAUUUGUAAACUAGAGUAUGUCAGUUAAUCACAAAAUAGAAGGAUAUGAUACUUAAGAAUAGUAAAGGUAAUCUUAAGAGGUUGAUAACAUUUAUCUCAAUAGAUUACAAACACCAGUUCAUGAGGAGUUUGCAUGCAUGUUGUGGAUAGUAGGUCAUAGGCAUGAGAAAUUGAUUUAAUUUAAUUUAAUUAAUUUCAUCUUGAUGUAGUUUCAUAGGGUAUUGGAGUAGAGUUGAUUCAAUUUAGUGAAGUGUUAAGUCAACUUUAAAAUUAAAUUAUAAAGUAGUUAGUAUUUUUCUUUGGGUCCUAGUAGUCUCCACUUGAGUUCAUACUCUUUGUUAGCAUAAAAUAUUAAGGUUUAUGGAGAAUUAAAUAUUUAUAUGCAUAAAGACGUUUUGGCAAAAAUGCAAGGUUGCAAAGGAUUUUAUGAUUAUACCUAUGUUUUGUCUUUUUUAAUUAGGUUAAUUAAUUAAUUGGAGUUCAAUAGUACUAAUUAAUUAAUUAAUUAGAACCUAAUGAAUUAAAUUAAGUGAACCAAGCCCAAGUUGGACAAAGUCAUUUAAACCUACAAAAAAUUUUAUAUAAACUUCCUUCGGAGUUUAAGGUUAGACAUACUCUUAGUCAUUGUCUCCCAAAGAGCCUCCAUUUCUCUCACCCUUGAAAAAUGUGUCGCCACUCUACACAAUCAAAAUUCAAGGAAGACAUGAUUAGGUGGAAGAUCAUAAGGUGAUUAAGAUCUUCUUUAUUAUCUAGAUUUUGAUUUAGGAACAUCUAAAUCAAAGGUAAAAUGCUUUUAAACCCCUAUAUCUAAGUUUUUUAAUUAUGAAUACUCCCUCUGUAUUUAGAUUUAGAUCUUUAGGACAUUUAGAUGCAUGUGUUCUUAUGAUUUAGGGCUUAAAAUGGUCUUUCCAAAUAUUCCAACAAGAGGAAUAUGAAAACAAUAGACCAUAACGACAUCAUCAUAGGUCAUGAAACCUUAAGAAAAGGAUGAAGACAAAGAAUGGAAGGACUAUAAAAAGAGUGAGAACACAAAGAGUAGAAAAAAGAGAGAUGAACAUAUAAAUGAGAAUAACAACCAAAAUGAGGAAGAAUCUUUAUAUGUAGAGGAAAAAUAACCUAAAAUUGAAGAACAAAAGUACAUUUGCUGCCAUGUUACCUUAAGAUUUUCCUGUAUAGAAAUUUCCCCAUGUAUGAAAAUAAAGGGGAGAAGAAGAGUAGGAACUAUAAGGAUUAUGAAUGUGGGACACUACAAAUGUAUGACACAUGUCAUUCAAAGAGCAUGUGUCAACACAAAUAUGGACAUACAAUUUAGGAAGAGCAAGCAAGGGAUAAAUGCUAAAUCAAUCCCUCAUAUAUGGGUUGACCUCACAAGCCAUGGUAAACACAUUUAAUGUGAUAAGAUAUAUAUUUAAUUUGAUUAAACACCACCCUCAUAUUUAUGGCAUGUGUAAGACCUUAUCCCCAAAUCAAGGAACCUAUUGUUGGGAACCUUGGAUUACUUCGUUCCCAUGCCCUAAAUCUCAUAGGGUGCAUGCAUCUAUAUCCUUAGGCAUCUUUAAAUCUAUUGUAACGGAAUAAAAUGAUAAUAAAAACCAUUUUAGAAUAAAGAUUUAGAGAUUUGAACCCCACACCUGGAUCUAGAUGUUCCUAGAUUAAUUCUUUGUGGUGAAGAACAUGUUUGAAUAGUCUAGAGGUCUCGUAUACCCAAGAUUUUCUGCCCGAUGACUCGAACUAUGAUCUUGACACUUCAAAGUGUGGCCUUUAGAAGAGUGGAAACUUUGACUCUUUCUCUCUCUCUCUCUCUCUCUCUCUCUCUUUCUCAUUCGAUGUGGAAUAUGACUAACUAAAGUCAUUAGGAAACCCAAACCCAUAAGGGGGUAUUUAUAGGAUUGCCCAUUGGGCUUAAGUGACUUGAACCCAUCAAAACUUAGGUAACUUAAUCCAGCCUAAAACAGGUCCUAAUUGAUUAAUUAAUCACAUAAGGCCAUCUAAUUAAUCAAUUAGUCUAAUAUAAAAACCUUGUUCAUUAUCCCCUUUGCAACCUUGCGUAAUUAUCAAAACGCUUUUAUGCACAAGAAUGAACUUAGAGUUAAUUUAACCCUCAUAAACCAUGUCAUCAUGGUAUAUGAGCUUAGAGUGGGGACCACUAAGACUCAUAGGAGUACAUGCUCCCUUAGAAUCCAAUUUUGAAGUUGAUUCAAAAUUUCACUAAAGAAAAUCAACUGCACUCCAAUAUCCUAUGUAAAUAACAACGAUACGAAGCUCAGGAUUCGUGACCUACUAUCCACUGCAUGUAGACUUCCUAUGAAUUAGUGUUUGUAAUCUAACAAGGUAGUGCUAUCACCUAUCAAAAUUAUCUCUCCAAUCCUUGAAUUAUAUAUCCCACUUAUUAUGUGAUCAACUGAUAUACUCUAAUUCUAAGGAACAUAUGUCAAAUUCCAUUAAAGGAAUUAUUGUAGCAUUAGAGAUUUCAUAAUCAUAUGUCCUUUGGACUACUUAAUGGGACACGUUGUUUCAAUCCCAUGAGAUAUCAUAGUGUCUUUAUUACUAAUACAUGUUGCCACCAAUCUUCAUCAAUUGUGAUCCAAUCCAUAGGGAUAUAUGACCACUUUAAGAUCUCAUCCAUAGGCUGAAGUCUCUUAUUGAUUUUGGUACAAACUCAAUAUCUUCUCAAUGUUGAGAGUCCAUGCAAUAUAGUAGGUUGGUGAAUCAUGACAAUUGAUAGCCUUGCAUCAUGAUUCACCAUAGGUUCUAUUCAGUGUGCAUCACAUACACGAGUACACUCACCAUGGGAAACUCAUCCUAAUGGCUAAGAUAAGUCAUCCCUUAAAUUAGGAGGUGGUGUACCAUCAAUGGGGCAUCAAACCAAUUGGUGGCGCUGCUCUAACAGGUCCUUAACUACUAGCAAGGAAAGACACAUGUGCAAUCUUGUGAUCACCUCUACUUGUGAAAACCAAGAAGGGGAUGCAAAACUUGGCUUCUCUUCUCUCCCAAACUUUUAACACAUUAUUUACCUUGGCUUAUACAACAUUCAACAAAAAUAUUAUCCAAUUAUUGUAAUGGUAACAAAGGAGUUGAUAUAUCCUAUGGGUAUCCUCAUGUACUACCUACUGCUUCACCAUUAAUUUUGUUGGCAUCAGCAUAUUCCCUCUUUGGACAGUGAAAGGAAAGGCCUCAACUCUCCAAAUCAACAUCAUAUAGAGUAAUGUUUGGAAACUGAAAUCAUAUUAAGCUUAAUUAAGAACUCAAAUUUUAUUACAUCACGCGGAAAACAGAAACAGAAGGAAAAAAGAAAACACACUGCAAAGUUAUUUCAGUAGCAUGCGUGCAUGCCCAGUAAAAAGAAACGCGACAUGAGUACUUCAGAUGAGUGCGUUGAUAGUGCUCUCAUCGUGGCAGCAAAGGAAAGCCAUGUAUUUCUCCAUGUUGCGGAGGCACUCCGGGCACUUCAUCGUAUCUGGAAUCCUUCCAACAGUGCUGGAGAACUCGAAGCGGCAGCAGGGGCGAGCAUCUGGACGAAGAUUAUUAUGGUAGUCAGAGCAAGCCAUAUCGAAACCCUUUGAAGGCACAUACUCCUUCCAUGCGUCGUACUCGUUGAAGGUAGGCAAGACACUGGAGCUGUGGCCAUUGACGAAUACAAAAGAUCCCUUGCUGAGUACAGCCCAUCCUCCUUCCUUGUCGUAGCUGAGCAGUUUCUUGAUUUCCCGCAGCAUAGGGUCGACAUCGACAGUACUCCCCAGCUGGAUCUUGGAGAACAUCAUGCUUUCCAGUCGGGUCCAGAAGAACCAGACCAUGGCAAGAUCUUGCCAGCAGUAGCUGAGUUUUUCCGCAGUAAUGGCGGUUGUGCAUUUCCGGACUUGCUCUCUUUUGGUGCUCUUUCCCACGUACACCAUCUCUAAGGGGAUCCGUGCAGUCGAUGCAAUUGCCCGUGCGGUGGUUGUGAAUUUUCGGAUCCAUUCCAUGUCAGUUCCUCCAUACAAGUAAAUGUAUUUUCCUUCUUUGAUCUGAUAAAAUAAAAAUAAAAAAAAUCUCCAGAUAAGUGAAGUCAUUCAUACACAUGUAAAGCUAGCUGUGUAUUUAGAUGGGUAAAGGUGAAUUACCCAGCUCAGUAUGGUUGGGUCAAUACCAUCCACCAGCAGCUCAAGCUUCCAACUCUCUUCCCUCCACAGAGCUUCCUCUCUCAAACUGGUGAACGGGAAGGCGGUACUCCCCCAUAUCCACAUCAUGUGGAUUGCAUUAGGGCUCACCACUUUCCCUUGUGGAUCUAGCACUACAAGGAUGGGCUUAUUCCGGAAGUGCCACACCUCCCUGAUGAACCUGAUGACUGGCUUUUCAAUUAGUGAAGGUGAGUACACCGAGUACCAUGGCAUCGUGGUCUGCAGAGUCUCAAACUGGCUUUGCAGGGGAUCUGUCCACUCAGCAAAACGGUCCACAAUUGGGAUCCACACAAUCUCAUACUCCAUCCUAGUUGCAUGGACCCGGGACUCAUUAUAA
rnacentral:lncRNA from 1 species